rnacentral:miRNA from 1 species
UACAGUGAUCGGGUUAUGAUGGA